rnacentral:rRNA from 1 species
UACGGAAGGCAGCAGUGGGGAAUAUUGCACAAUGGGCGAAAGCCUGAUGCAGCUAUGCCGCGUGUAUGAAGAAGGCCUUAGGGUUGUAAAGUACUUUCAUCGGGGAGGAAAAACAAAACUAAUAAUUUUAUUUCUUGACGUUACCCGAAAAAGAAGCACCGGCUAACUCCGUGCCAGCAGCCGCGGUAAUACGGAGGGUGCUAGCGUUAAUCAGAAUUACUGGGCGUAAAGAGCACGUAGGUGGUUUUUUUAAGUCAGAUGUGAAAUCCCUGGGCUUAACCUAGGAACUGCAUUUUGAAACUGAAAUACUAGAGUAUCGUAGAGGGAGGUAGAAUUCUAGGUGUAGCGGUGAAAUGCGUAGAUAUCUGGAAGAAUACCUGUGGCGAAAGCGGCCUCCUAAACGAAUACUGACACUGAGGUGCGAAAGCGUGGGGAGCAAACAGGGAUUAGAUACC